CUCUCAAAAUUCUGCCUGCGCAUAUCAGGUUUAUGCACUGCGGCCCAACACAGCCUGAUUUCUUGGCGACUUCUUCUCUCAAAGUGGCCACCGUCCACUCAUCGAGGUCUACUUCCAGUACUCCACUCCAAGCCCCACCUAUCUUCAAUUUCCCCAUACCCAUUAAAGUUCUCUGCGUGAGUCGUCGUUUAGUCGAUUUCUUGGGAGAGACGAAUUACAGAGUUUUGGGUUUUGCGUCUGUACAAACAUAUUAUUAAAUGAAUAUCAGAGCAUCUCAAUGUACAUUUACAUCAAGAUUUGUCAAUUUAUUAUUUGUACGAGUUUAAAAUAUAGUUAACUUUUUUAUUUAAUCUUUUUUUUUAAUAUCAUUUUUGAUAACUACUCAUAUAUUAUUUUUAUGUACAAUUAGUAAAAUCUUAUGUUAAAAUGGUUAUAUUUAAGUGACAAUAUCUUCAUUUAAUUAACAGAUAUUGUCUUUGAUAAUAGUUUGACUGAACAUUCUAUCAAAGUGCUUAGAAAUGAGGGAUGAAUAUUUUUUUCGUCUAAUACUUAUUUCUGUUUUUAUUAUUUUGCUUGUUUAAAAAUAAAAGGGACAAAUAAAUUUUUUUAUGCCCUUCUAAAUAAUUUUUUGGACAGAAAUCCUUAUCGAUGAGUUGCUAAAGAUAUGCAAAUUAAUGAAUGUUGAUAUGAGAACACGAAAGAGAAAAAGUUAGAGAUAUAAGUACAAUAGUGAACAAAUGUUAGAGAUUGAAUUGAGUUUCGUAGGACCUCUCCCAUCAUAUUGUUGCUAAUUAGAGUUUAGUCAGUAAGUUCAUAAUGAAUUGAUAUGAUUUAUCUACGCUUAUUACGCUAAAAUAUUGAACCAUGAAUAAAGAAAGACAUAAGAAAAAUAUUUAUCGACUUACAUUCGUGGCUUAAUUCUUG
rnacentral:lncRNA from 1 species